GACGGAGGAUGCAAGUGUUAUCCGGAAUCACUGGGCGUAAAGCGUCUGUAGGUGGUUCGAAAAGUCCACUGUUAAAAAUUGAGGCUUAACUUCAAAGAUGCCGUGGAAACUUUCAAACUAGAGUAUGGUAGGGGUAGAGGGAAUUCCAGUGGAGGCGGUGAAAAUGCGCAGAUAUCGGGAGGAACACCGGUGGCGAAGGCGGUCUCUGGGCCUGUACUGACGCUGAGGCACGAAAGCCAGGGAGCAACGGG
rnacentral:rRNA from 1 species